AACGAACGCUGGCGGCAUGCCUAACACAUGCAAGUCGAACGAGACCUUCGGGUCUAGUGGCGCACGGGUGCGUAACGCGUGGGAACCUGCCCUUAGGUUCGGAAUAACUCCCCGAAAGGGGUGCUAAUACCGGAUAAUGUCUUCGGACCAAAGAUUUAUCGCCUUUGGAUGGGCCCGCGUUGGAUUAGCUAGUUGGUAGGGUAAAAGCCUACCAAGGCGACGAUCCAUAGCUGGUCUGGGAGGAUGAUCAGCCACACUGGGACUGAGACACGGCCCAGACUCCUCGGGGGGGAGGCAGUGGGGAAUAUGGGACAGUGGGCGAAAGCCUGAUCCGGCAAGGCCGGGUGGGUGAUGAAGGCCUAGGGUUGUAAAGCUCUUUUACCCGGGAUGAUAAUGACAGUACCGGGAGAAUAAGCUCCGGCUAACUCCGUG
rnacentral:rRNA from 1 species